rnacentral:misc_RNA from 1 species
GAUGAAGAACGUAGCGAAAUGCGAUAAGUAGUGUGAAUUGCAGAAUUCAGUGAAUCAUCGAAUCUUUGAACGCACAUUGCGCCCUGUGGUAUUCCUUAGGGCAUGCCUGUUCGAGCGUCAUCUAACCCCUCAAGCAACGCUUGGUGUUGGGCGCUUGUCCCGCCUCUGGCGCGGACUCGCCUUAAAAUCAUUUGGCGGCCUGUGUAUUGGCUUCGAGCGCAGCAGACUCGCGCCUCGGACCCUUUCGCGCAGGCGUCCAACAAGCCUAUACCCACAAUUUUGACCUCGGAUCAGGUAGGGAUACCCGCUGAACUUAAGCAUAUCAAUAAGCGGAGGA